rfam:Gossypium hirsutum cultivar TM-1 chromosome 9, whole genome shotgun sequence
CCGUGAUGUUGAAAUUUUCUUAACAUUGCCUUAAAAUGCUCCCACGCCUCGUAUAGAUAUUAACCUUCAAAUUGUUUAAAAUUGGCGAUUUCUCGCCUCAACUG